GUGACAUACCACUUGUUGCCUCGGCGGAUCAGCCCGCUCCCGGUAAAACGGGACGGCCCGCCAGAGGACCCCUAAACUCUGUUUCUAUAUGUAACUUCUGAGUAACCAUAAAUAAAUCAAAACUUUCAACAACGGAUCUCUUGGUUCUGGCAUCGAUGAAGAACGCAGCAAAAUGCGAUAAGUAAUGUGAAUUGCAGAAUUCAGUGAAUCAUCGAAUCUUUAUUGCGCCCGCCAGUAUUCUGGCGGGCAUGCCUGUUCGAGCGUCAUUUCAACCCUCAAGCACAGCUUGGUGUUGGGACUCGCGUUAAUUCGCGUUCCUCAAAUUGAUUGGCGGAGCUUCCAUAGCGUAGUAGUAAAACCCUCGUUACUGGUAAUCGUCGCGGCCACGCCGUUAAACCCCAACUUCUGAAUGUUGACCUCGGAUCAGGUAGGAAUACCCGCUGAACUUAAGCAUAUC
rnacentral:rRNA from 1 species